rnacentral:rRNA from 1 species
UACGAAGGGGGCUAGCGUUGCUCGGAAUUACUGGGCGUAAAGGGUGCGCAGGCGGUCUCGUAAGCUGGGUGUGAAAGCCCCGGGCUUAACCUGGGAAUGGCAUUCAGGACUGCGAGGCUUUGAGUGUGGCAGAGGGAGGUGGAAUUCCACGUGUAGCAGUGAAAUGCGUAGAGAUGUGGAGGAACACCGAUGGCGAAGGCAGCCUCCUGGGCCAGCACUGACGCUCAUGCACGAAAGCGUGGGGAGCAAACAGG